rnacentral:lncRNA from 1 species
CUCUCCCUCUUUAUUUCAAAUUAAGCACAUCUAAAUUUAGAUUAUCAAAUUUGAAUAUCUAUUCUUUAAUUAAUUAUUCUUUAAUAUUUUCUCCCCUUUUUUCUUUCAAAAUUUAGCAUAUUUAAGCUUUUCAUUUUUUUCUCCCUUAGUUUUACAAGUCAAGAUAUUUUCAACAAGAUAGCCUUUUAAGAGCAUAUUUUUUUUAAAUAUUUUCUCUCCCUUUCGCAAAAGUACAAUGUGGGUUUAACUUAGAAAUUCAAAUCAAGACUUCUUCUUUUUCUCAAAAACAUAGAUGUAAACAUACUUCUCAAUUUAAAAUUUUGAAUAAUAUAGUCUUGAAAAUACUUCUCUUCUUUUUUGAUAUUAAAAUAGAUUAUUCAAAAAUAUAUCAUAAAAAAUUAUCCCAAACAAUAGUAAGAAUAUAACCAUGGAAAUUCAGAUUUGAGAUAUGGCAUUUUUUUUUGCCAAAAGAUAGUGCGAUGAAAUUCAUGGCAAAAAUUAGACUACUUGAAACCAAUUAUGAGAAGUAUGAAACUAAUUGUGAUAAAAUUCUUAAAAAAAAAUUAUGUUGAUACCAUCUCUUCUUUUGGAUAACUACUUCCCUUUUUGAAAUUUGAUAGCAAAUUGAGAUUGAAUUUCUUCUUACUUUUGAUUAAUAUAUAUGAAAAUGAAACAUAGCUUCCCCUUUUUGAAUAAAGUUGAUACAUUAAUUAAUUUUUUUCAUAAUAAGUAACACUCAGUUAAAUUCAGAAAUGAUAUUAUAAAUGUAUCAGAGCAAAUCUAUGAUCCUAACAUAUGGUAUUCGAGCAAAAUUAGAACAACACAUAGUAUCAAUAUGAAAUAUGUUUGAGAAGAAGAUUGUUUGAUAUCAACUGUAAAAAUAAACUUCUUUAUACCAAUUUUGAUACCAAUUACUUUAAAAAAUUCAAACAACAAAUUUCUCAAAUAUUAUUCUUGAUACUAAAGAAAAUCUAUCAAAAUAUUUUUUUUUUGAG